UUUUUUCCCUCGUGGCAACAAAACAGAACAAAGAAGUUGACUUUUUGACGACAUAUUUUGACUAUACCGACGAAAAACCUUUAAGAUGAUCAGGCAGGAUCUCAUCGCUUCGUUCAUUUUAUUAUAUGUAAGCAUCAACGUCUUCUAACCAAAUGUACUGUUUUAGUGGAUCUUGUCUUUCAUCUUUAUACACCGGCGACCCAUUCCUUUCUUUCCCCUCUCUCUCCAAAAUUAUACCAAACUCGCUCCUAGUCCUAGGGCGACGCACUCUUUCCUCGUUUACUCUCUCAGUCACGUUCUUUUUGUCGACGCUGCGGUAGCUUUCGACUCAAAAAAAUUACAUUUUACAGUGAACGAAUUCUUGCUCUCCCUAUUGCUAGGAUCAGACGAAGAACUGCGACUGGAAUUUGAAGGAGUUUUGUGACGCUGUGAAAUUCAGACAAAAAGAACAUGGGUAUUGUUGGCUUAAAGGUUAUAUAUAAUAACAGAAGAAUAUCUAGAUUCGAUCACUCUUCAAGCUACAAUGGACAACAAAUAUUCUAGCAAACGGAGGGGCUUAUAACUGCCAAGCCUGACGCCGCUAAAUACAUCCUUCUAUUGUCAGAUCCUAAGGUAAGUAAAGUACAUUCUUAUGUUGUAGAAACUAUAAACUCUCGUCUCCCUCACGUAAACCGAAGUAAAAAUAAUGUAAGUGUGCUAUACAGAUAACAGAAUCUGUCUGAAACAGACAAAUGUGUAUGAUAUUGAUGACUUUAUUAGUACAGUAACAUCAUUGAACUGGCAUUAUGUA